rnacentral:rRNA from 1 species
GAUGAACGCUGGCGGCAUGCCUGAUACAUGCAAGUCGUGCGAGAAGUUACCUUCGGGUAAUGGAAAGCGGCGGACGGGUGAGUAACGCGUAGAAACAUACCCCAGAGUGAGGGAUAAGCAUCGGAAACGAUGUCUAAUACCGCGUAACGUCUACGGACAAAAGUUUUAUACGCUUUGGGAAUGGUCUGCGUCUGAUUAGCUAGUUGGUAAGGUAAAGGCUUACCAAGGCGAUGAUCAGUAGCUGGUUUGAGAGGAUGAUCAGCCACACUGGGACUGAGACACGGCCCAGACUCCUACGGGAGGCAGCAGUAGGGAAUCUUCCACAAUGGGCGAAAGCCUGAUGGAGCAAUGCCGCGUGCGGGAUGAAGCUUUUCGGAGUGUAAACCGCUUUUAUAUAUGAAGAUUAUGACGGUAAUAUAUGAAUAAGGAUCGGCUAACUACGUG